CUUAUCUAAACUUGACUCGUCGCUAUUGCUCCAUAUCACGACUAUUGCCUUCUUCUUGAUUCUUUUGAAGGUCUUCUUCAAUGUUGGAUAGUCGACCUUAAAGUGAUAUGGUCUUUUGCACUUAUAGCACAAGGGUGGCUGCUUUUCCUUUUCUUUCUCUUUUUACCUGCUUGGCUCAUCCUUGGACAAAUUUUUUUUCCUAAAGCCAUGCCUUCUCCUUCCCAUGAACUUCUUAAAUUUUUUGAUCACCAGGGCUAUAUCCUUAUCAUCUUCAUCCUCAGUAGACUGCCC
rnacentral:lncRNA from 1 species